GAUGAACGCUGGCGGCGUGCCUAAUACAUGCAAGUCGAGCGAGCAGACGAGGAGCUUGCUCCUCUGACGUUAGCGGCGGACGGGUGAGUAACACGUGGAUAACCUACCUAUAAGACUGGGAUAACUUCGGGAAACCGGAGCUAAUACCGGAUAAUAUAUUGAACCGCAUGGUUCAAUAGUGAAAGACGGUUUUGCUGUCACUUAUAGAUGGAUCCGCGCCGCAUUAGCUAGUUGGUAAGGUAACGGCUUACCAAGGCAACGAUGCGUAGCCGACCUGAGAGGGUGGUCGGCCACACUGGAGCUGAGACACGGUCCAGACUCCUACGAGAGGCAGCAGUAGGGAAUCUUCCGCAAUAGUCGAAAGCCUGACGGAGCAACGCCGCGUGAGUGAUGAAGGUCUUCGGAUCGUAAAACCCUGUUAUUAGGGAAGAACAAAUGUGUAAGUAACUAUGGACGUCUUGACGGUACCUAAUCAGAAAGCCACGGCUAACUACGUG
rnacentral:rRNA from 1 species